UACGUAGGGUGCGAGCGUUAAUCGGAAUUACUGGGCGUAAAGCGUGCGCAGGCGGUUUGCUAAGACCGAUGUGAAAUCCCCGGGCUCAACCUGGGAACUGCAUCUUAUACUGGGUAACUGGAGUGCAGUAGAGGGUAGUGGAAUUUCCGGUGUAGCGGUGAAAUGCGUAGAUAUCGGAAGGAACACCAGUGGCGAAGGCGGCUACCUGGACUGAGACUGACACUGAGGCGCGAGAGCGUGGGGAGCAAACAGG
rnacentral:rRNA from 1 species